AGAAGUUCCUGGGUUACAAUUUACCAUUUGAGGUCUACCCACGCACACAGCAGGUUCAGAGCGAGGGCAACCGCACAGGAGCCAAUCAGCGACAAAGAGGAGGCCUAUGAACUGUCCAACCUCAGUGCAGUAGUAGGCGGGUUCUUCCGGUGUCAUGGCAACAAAGUGUGCGUCCUGAGGGCUCUGCUGAGAAUCCUUUAAUUUACUGGGUCGUCUUGUGUGACUUGUGGUGGCUGGACGAUGCAUGGGAAGGACUCCAGGAGACCCUAAAGCCUCGCUAUGGACAUAUACAGACACACAGAUGUGUACUUUACCAUGGUUUUAUGGCACGUCUCUAUCACGUUAUGCUGAUGACAAGAUUUACAAGCCAAAAGAAAAACAAUUUUACACUCAGGAGGCUGAGACAGGAAGACUUCCAUGAGUUCAAGGCCAGCUUGGGCUGCAUGGAGAGACUAAUUCUAUAAAAAGGCCAGUAUAUGUGAGCAGGAAGAAACUUAUUCAAAUACCGAAAAUCUCAUAUUCAUGUACUACAGUAAUGCUGGAGAAGGACUCAACACAUAAUUUGGAGGAGUGUAUUCAACUGAAGUCAAAGCUAGAGCUAAGUACAAGGUAGUUCAUCAAGAGGGUUUCUGGUUGAUGCUAAACAGAUUGCACUCUAUCAAUUACUAAUUAAAGACCAUAGUUCUCCAAUAGAGAUAAAAUUUUAUUAAAUACCAAGAAUGGAAUUGAGAGAGUACUAUAAUUGUACUAUAACAAUACUAAAUGACUGUAUCAAUGUAGUAACAGUGGGAAUUAAAAUAAUUAAAAGUAAUCAAAAUGAGGAAUAGCAUUAAAAAUUCAAAGCAUGACACUGAAAAUGCCAAACAAAACCUACAAUAGGAAUGCCUAUUAUCAAGUGGAGUCCUAGUGAAACAUACAAUGUAACAGUUUUGGUCCUGAUGAAAUUGUAUCUUGGGCAUUUUUAUUUUCUUAUGUUACAAAACAUAAGCCUACCUACGAAUUGUAGUAACAAUCACAGCCAAAUUUACCGAAAGCUUUAAUGGCUCAGCACUGCACUUUCCCAAAAACAUUUUGUUUAAGCAAAUUUAAUUUAGGUAUAAGAAUAGUUGCAUACAUUUAUUUCUCCAGGUCAGAUUCUCCUGUGACACAAGCUGUUAACCAAAUGAUACUGGAAGAAGCAUUAUAUAGGACUGUCAGCAGCUCAUUUGCAUAUUUAGUUACAUAAUCUCUGAGGCAAUUUGUAUGAGAUAAAGGCUGAUGGGACUUUGUGCUUCUCAACCUAUAGCACCCCAUAAGAGACCUCAUCCUAUCAUUUUAGCCAUCUGACCCUCAUGUUUAUAUUAUGAAAUGAUUAUCACAUUCUUCAUAGCUAGCAUUUGCAUUGUUGUGGCACAAUUAUAAUGUAAGAACACCUUUAUAAAAUAGCAAGCUUAUAGGUAUUCAUGAUCAGCUACACGUCUCUGGCCAGUUUCUGUUCUGCAGUUUCUGCUGAAUUCAACUGUCCUUGACAUUGUCAAAAGCCCAAUUACAUGCCUCUGAUGAGCACAGAGUCAGAGUGAUUGUCUAUACCAUAAGGCACCCUAAUUCAGGACACUUAAGUAUGUUCACUCUAUAAGAUCUCCCUACCUGAAACAUUUCUAUAUUUUGGUAAUGCCUUUAAUUGUGCUCACUCCCUGGAACAUUUCUAUAUUAUAAAAUGUUUCUUAUGAUAAUGCCUUCAACUGUGCUCACUCUAUAAGGGCCCGCUCCCUGGAACUUUCUUUAUUGGUAAUGCCUUUUAUCAUGCUCACUCUGUAAAGGUCUCCUCCUCUUUUCCUGGAGUGUUUCUAUAUUAUGAUAAACAAUCCUUUUGUUUCAACAAUCUGUUUAAGACUAGUCUGCCUGUUAAUGUAUGACUUAAUGCAUGUAACCAAUUAUGUAGCUUUUGUCACUUGCUUUGUAUUUCUCACUUCUAAAUGCUGUAUAAACUACACCCUUUCUAAAAGAGUCCCCCAGCAUAAAGAUUAAAUGCUGCCUUCUUAUCUCCUCAGUGAAAAGAGUCUUCCUUUCAGUUUGGUUUUGCUUGGAAAUUUUCCUGUAACAGCAUCACCCACCACAAUUGCCUUUAGGGUAUAUGGAGAAAACACUAAAAACUUUUAGCCAAUUGUGAUGCUAUGUUGCACUACAUUAACUACUGUAGUCACUAUUAGAUCUAUGCCAUUUUUUUGUACUCUACAAGAGACAAACUGUGCUUUUUCAACAUCUUAACUUCCCCAUGCCCAUACAUGCAUCCCUAUCCUCUACUUCUUUAAAGUUGUAAAUAUUAGAGGCUGAAAAAAAUAUGAUCAAUCUUUAUUCCUGGUAUAUUUCUCUUAAUAACUUCUUGGAUAAAUUACAUUGUCACAAAUGAAGGAUUUCUUUUAGGUCUCAAUAAAAUUUCAUUUUAUGAACAAACUUCA